rnacentral:rRNA from 1 species
UGAUGUGUAGGAUAGGUGGGAGGCUUUGAAGUGUGGACGCCAGUCUGCAUGGAGCCGACCUUGAAAUACCACCCUUUAAUGUUUGAUGUUCUAACGUUGACCCGUAAUCCGGGUUGCGGACAGUGUCUGGUGGGUAGUUUGACUGGGGCGGUCUCCUCCUAAAGAGUAACGGAGGAGCACGAAGGUUGGCUAAUCCUGGUCGGACAUCAGGAGGUUAGUGCAAUGGCAUAAGCCAGCUUGACUGCGAGCGUGACGGCGCGAGCAGGUGCGAAAGCAGGUCAUAGUGAUCCGGUGGUUCUGAAUGGAAGGGCCAUCGCUCAACGGAUAAAAGGUACUCCGGGGAUAACAGGCUGAUACCGCCCAAGAGUUCAUAUCGACGGCGGUGUUUGGCACCUCGAUGUCGGCUCAUCACAUCCUGGGGCUGAAGUAGGUCCCAAGGGUAUGGCUGUUCGCCAUUUAAAGUGGUACGCGAGCUGGGUUUAGAACGUCGUGAGACAGUUCGGUCCCUAUCUGCCGUGGGCGCUGGAGAACUGAGGGGGGCUGCUCCUAGUACGAGAGGACCGGAGUGGACGCAUCACUGGUGUUCGGGUUGUCAUGCCAAUGGCACUGCCCGGUAGCUAAAUGCGGAAGAGAUAAGUGCUGAAAGCAUCUAAGCACGAAACUUGCCCCGAGAUGAGUUCUCCCUGACUCCUUGAGAGUCCUGAAGGAACGUUGAAG